ensembl:ncRNA F57C7.10 ncRNA
UCUUUAAAAACCCAUUUCAAGGCAUCUGUACUUCCUCACAAAAGGCAGUAAACACAAAAAAGUUUGUUCAAAGCAAGUGUUGUGGAAAGAAAAAAACUAAACAUCUCUUCCUACAUUUUUGCGCCAAAAUAGAAAACUUGAGAAGUGUCUCGUUCAGUGGCACUCAUAUAUAAUUUGGACCCAUCUUGAUCCUCAUCAUCAUCAUCAUCUCUCCGUUUUCA